AGGGCGUGGUGCGCGGCGCGCCGCGCCGCGCCAGACUUUGAUUCUGGCUCAGGAUAAACGCUGGCGGCGUGCGUAACACAUGCAAGUCGAACGAGAAUGUACUGACGGAUCCUUAGGGUGAAGAUAGUACAGGACAGUGGCGGAUGGGUGAGUAACGCGUAAGAAACUUGCCUUUCACACCGGGAUAGCAGCUGGAAACGGCUAUUAAUACCGGAUGACACUUUUUCCCCGCAUGAGGAAGAGGUUAAAGAAUUUCGGUGAAAGAUGGUCUUGCGUCUGAUUAGCUAGUUGGUGGGGCAACGGCCUACCAAGGCGACGAUCAGUAGCCGGCCUGAGAGGGUGUACGGCCACAUUGGGACUGAGACACGGCCCAAACUCCUACGGGAGGCAGCAGUGGAGAAUUUUGCACAAUGGAGGAAACUCUGAUGCAGCGACGCCGCGUGAACGAAGAAGGUCUUCGGAUUGUAAAGUUCUGUCCUGGGUGAAGAUAAUGACGGUAACUCAGGAGGAAGCCCCGGCUGACUACGUGCCAGCAGCCGCGGUAAUACGUAGGGGGCGAGCGUUGUUCGGAAUUAUUGGGCGUAAAGGGUACGUAGGCGGUUUGUUAAGUUUGGCGUUAAAUCACGGGGCUCAACCCCGUUCAGCGUUGAAAACUGGCAAACUUGAGUAGUAGAGGGAACAGUGGAAUUCCUAGUGUAGCGGUGAAAUGCGUAGAGAUUANGAAGAAUACCGGUGGCGAAGGCGACUGUCUGGAUACAUACUGACGCUCAGGUACGAAAGCGUGGGGAGCAAACAGGAUUAGAUACCCUGGUAGUCCACGCCCUAAACGAUGAGUGCUAGGUGUCGGGUGUCAAAGCCCGGUGCCGCCGUUAACACAUUAAGCACUCCGCCUGGGGAGUACGCACGCAAGUGUGCAACUCAAAGGAAUUGACGG
rnacentral:rRNA from 1 species